UACGUAGGGGGCAAGCGUUGUCCGGAAUCAUUGGGCGUAAAGCGCACGUAGGCGGCCCGGUAAGUCCGUUGUGAAAGUCAGAGGCUCAACCUCUGGAGGCCAAUGGAUACUGCCGGGCUAGAGUCCGGAAGAGGCGAGUGGAAUUCCUGGUGUAGCGGUGGAAUGCGCAGAUAUCGGAAGGAACACCAGUGGCGAAAGCGGCUUCCUGGUCCAGCACCGACGUUCAGGCACGAAAGCGUGGGGAGCAAACAGG
rnacentral:rRNA from 1 species